UUAAGCGACUAAGCGUACACGGUGGAUGCCCUGGCAGUCAGAGGCGAUGAAGGACGUGCUAAUCUGCGAUAAGCGUCGGUAAGGUGAUAUGAACCGUUAUAACCGGCGAUUUCCGAAUGGGGAAACCCAGUGUGUUUCGACACACUAUCAUUAACUGAAUCCAUAGGUUAAUGAGGCGAACCGGGGGAACUGAAACAUCUAAGUACCCCGAGGAAAAGAAAUCAACCGAGAUUCCCCCAGUAGCGGCGAGCGAACGGGGAGCAGCCCAGAGCCUGAAUCAGUGUGUGUGUUAGUGGAAGCGUCUGGAAAGGCGCGCGAUACAGGGUGACAGCCCCGUACACAAAAAUGCACAUGCUGUGAGCUCGAUGAGUAGGGCGGGACACGUGGUAUCCUGUCUGAAUAUGGGGGGACCAUCCUCCAAGGCUAAAUACUCCUGACUGACCGAUAGUGAACCAGUACCGUGAGGGAAAGGCGAAAAGAACCCCGGCGAGGGGAGUGAAAAAGAACCUGAAACCGUGUACGUACAAGCAGUGGGAGCACAGAGCAAUCUGUGUGACUGCGUACCUUUUGUAUAAUGGGUCAGCGACUUAUAUUCUGUAGCAAGGUUAACCGAAUAGGGGAGCCGAAGGGAAACCGAGUCUUAACUGGGCGUUAAGUUGCAGGGUAUAGACCCGAAACCCGGUGAUCUAGCCAUGGGCAGGUUGAAGGUUGGGUAACACUAACUGGAGGACCGAACCGACUAAUGUUGAAAAAUUAGCGGAUGACUUGUGGCUGGGGGUGAAAGGCCAAUCAAACCGGGAGAUAGCUGGUUCUCCCCGAAAGCUAUUUAGGUAGCGCCUCGUGAAUUCAUCUCCGGGGGUAGAGCACUGUUUCGGCAAGGGGGUCAUCCCGACUUACCAACCCGAUGCAAACUGCGAAUACCGGAGAAUGUUAUCACGGGAGACACACGGCGGGUGCUAACGUCCGUCGUGAAGAGGGAAACAACCCAGACCGCCAGCUAAGGUCCCAAAGUCAUGGUUAAGUGGGAAACGAUGUGGGAAGGCCCAGACAGCCAGGAUGUUGGCUUAGAAGCAGCCAUCAUUUAAAGAAAGCGUAAUAGCUCACUGGUCGAGUCGGCCUGCGCGGAAGAUGUAACGGGGCUAAACCAUGCACCGAAGCUGCGGCAGCGACACUAUGUGUUGUUGGGUAGGGGAGCGUUCUGUAAGCCUGCGAAGGUGUGCUGUGAGGCAUGCUGGAGGUAUCAGAAGUGCGAAUGCUGACAUAAGUAACGAUAAAGCGGGUGAAAAGCCCGCUCGCCGGAAGACCAAGGGUUCCUGUCCAACGUUAAUCGGGGCAGGGUGAGUCGACCCCUAAGGCGAGGCCGAAAGGCGUAGUCGAUGGGAAACAGGUUAAUAUUCCUGUACUUGGUGUUACUGCGAAGGGGGGACGGAGAAGGCUAUGUUGGCCGGGCGACGGUUGUCCCGGUUUAAGCGUGUAGGCUGGUUUUCCAGGCAAAUCCGGAAAAUCAAGGCUGAGGCGUGAUGACGAGGCACUACGGUGCUGAAGCAACAAAUGCCCUGCUUCCAGGAAAAGCCUCUAAGCAUCAGGUAACAUCAAAUCGUACCCCAAACCGACACAGGUGGUCAGGUAGAGAAUACCAAGGCGCUUGAGAGAACUCGGGUGAAGGAACUAGGCAAAAUGGUGCCGUAACUUCGGGAGAAGGCACGCUGAUAUGUAGGUGAAGUCCCUCGCGGAUGGAGCUGAAAUCAGUCGAAGAUACCAGCUGGCUGCAACUGUUUAUUAAAAACACAGCACUGUGCAAACACGAAAGUGGACGUAUACGGUGUGACGCCUGCCCGGUGCCGGAAGGUUAAUUGAUGGGGUUAGCGCAAGCGAAGCUCUUGAUCGAAGCCCCGGUAAACGGCGGCCGUAACUAUAACGGUCCUAAGGUAGCGAAAUUCCUUGUCGGGUAAGUUCCGACCUGCACGAAUGGCGUAAUGAUGGCCAGGCUGUCUCCACCCGAGACUCAGUGAAAUUGAACUCGCUGUGAAGAUGCAGUGUACCCGCGGCAAGACGGAAAGACCCCGUGAACCUUUACUAUAGCUUGACACUGAACAUUGAGCCUUGAUGUGUAGGAUAGGUGGGAGGCUUUGAAGUGUGGACGCCAGUCUGCAUGGAGCCGACCUUGAAAUACCACCCUUUAAUGUUUGAUGUUCUAACGUUGACCCGUGAUCCGGGUUGCGGACAGUGUCUGGUGGGUAGUUUGACUGGGGCGGUCUCCUCCUAAAGAGUAACGGAGGAGCACGAAGGUUGGCUAAUCCUGGUCGGACAUCAGGAGGUUAGUGCAAUGGCAUAAGCCAGCUUGACUGCGAGCGUGACGGCGCGAGCAGGUGCGAAAGCAGGUCAUAGUGAUCCGGUGGUUCUGAAUGGAAGGGCCAUCGCUCAACGGAUAAAAGGUACUCCGGGGAUAACAGGCUGAUACCGCCCAAGAGUUCAUAUCGACGGCGGUGUUUGGCACCUCGAUGUCGGCUCAUCACAUCCUGGGGCUGAAGUAGGUCCCAAGGGUAUGGCUGUUCGCCAUUUAAAGUGGUACGCGAGCUGGGUUUAGAACGUCGUGAGACAGUUCGGUCCCUAUCUGCCGUGGGCGCUGGAGAACUGAGGGGGGCUGCUCCUAGUACGAGAGGACCGGAGUGGACGCAUCACUGGUGUUCGGGUUGUCAUGCCAAUGGCACUGCCCGGUAGCUAAAUGCGGAAGAGAUAAGUGCUGAAAGCAUCUAAGCACGAAACUUGCCCCGAGAUGAGUUCUCCCUGACUCCUUGAGAGUCCUGAAGGAACGUUGAAGACGACGACGUUGAUAGGCCGGGUGUGUAAGCGCAGCGAUGCGUUGAGCUAACCGGUACUAAUGAACCGUGAGGCUUAACCUU
rnacentral:rRNA from 1 species